AGAGUUUGAUCCUGGCUCAGAUUGAACGCUGGCGGAAUGCUUUACACAUGCAAGUCGAACGGCAGCACGGGGCGAACCUGGUGGCGAGUGGCGAACGGGUGAGUAAUACAUCGGAACGUGCCCAAUCGUGGGGGAUAACGUAGCGAAAGUUACGCUAAUACCGCAUACGAUCUACGGAUGAAAGCGGGGGAUCGCAAGACCUCGCGCGAGUGGAGCGGCCGAUGUCAGAUUAGGUAGUUGGUGGGGUAAAGGCUCACCAAGCCAACGAUCUGUAGCUGGUCUGAGAGGACGACCAGCCACACUGGAACUGAGACACGGUCCAGACUCCUACGGGAGGCAGCAGUGGGGAAUUUUGGACAAUGGGCGCAAGCCUGAUCCAGCCAUUCCGCGUGCAGGAUAAAGGCCUUCGGGUUGUAAACUGCUUUUGUACGGAACGAAACGGCGAGCUCUAAUACAGUUUGCUAAUGACGGUACCGUAAGAAUAAGCACCGGCUAACUACGUG
rnacentral:rRNA from 1 species